AAUAUUGGACAAUGGGGGCAACCCUGAUCCAGCCAUGCCGCGUGUGUGAAGAAGGUCUUCGGAUUUUAAAGCACGUUAAGUUGGGAGGAAGGGCUUUAGGCUAAUACCUUGAAGUUUUUACGUUACCAACAGAGUAAGCACCGGCUAACGCUGUGCCAGCAGCCGCGGUAAUACAGCGGGAGCAAGCGUUAAUCGGAAUUACUUGGCGUAAAGCGCGCGUAGGUGGUUCAGUAAGAUGGGUGUGAAAUACCCGGGCUUAACCGGGGAACUGCUUUCAUAACUGCUGAGCUAGAGUACGGUAGAGGGUAGUGGAAUUUCCUGUGUAGAGGUGAAAUGCGUAGAUAUAGGAAGGAACACCAGUGGCGAAGGCGACUACCUGGACUGAUACUGACACUGAGGUGCGAAAGCGUGGGGAGCAAAC
rnacentral:rRNA from 1 species